rnacentral:rRNA from 1 species
GGAUGCGAUCAUACCAGCACUAAAGCACCGGAUCCCAUCAGGACUUCGAAGUUAAGCGUGCUUGGGCGAGAGUAGUACUAGGAUGGGUGACCUCCUGGGAAGUCCUCGUGUUGCAUUCC